rnacentral:rRNA from 1 species
UGAGGAAUAUUGGUCAAUGGGCGCGAGCCUGAACCAGCCAAGUCGCGUGAGGGAGGACGGCCCUACGGGUUGUAAACCUCUUUUGCCGGGGAGCAACGGGCGCCACGUGUGGCGCCACUGAGAGUACCCGGAGAAAAAGCAUCGGCUAACUCCGUGCCAGCAGCCGCGGUAAUACUGAGGAUGCGAGCGUUAUCCGGAUUUAUUGGGUUUAAAGGGUGCGUAGGCGGAUCGUUAAGUCAGUGGUCAAAUUGAGGGGCUCAACCCCUUCCCGCCAUUGAAACUGGCGAUCUUGAGUGGAAGAGAAGUAUGCGGAAUGCGUGGUGUAGCGGUGAAAUGCAUAGAUAUCACGCAGAACCCCGAUUGCGAAGGCAGCAUGCCGGCUUCCUACUGACGCUGAAGCACGAAAGCGUGGGGAUCGAACA